ACAGCCUCCACUAUGAUGAAAUAGAAAGGGCUCUGCCACUUACUACACAUCCAGAUGGAGGCACUGGUAACAUGGCCUUCCUUGCUACUUGUGCUACUAGACAUAAACUGGAUCUCCAUCCAAGCUCUGACAGUCACUGAUGGAAUCAAUGUCAUUGGGGCAUGGAAAACAGCACAGUUCAUGGAUUGGAUGUGGACUAAACAUGAUCAUAUGUGUGAAGUUACAGGAAAAGCCUUCUGGAGCAGGAUUAGAAAGAACAGAAUGGGAUCUAAUUGA
ensembl:lincRNA